UACAGAGGUCUCAAGCGUUGUUCGGAUUCAUUGGGCGUAAAGGGCGCGUAGGCUGCGGGGCAAGUCGGGUGUGAAAUCUCAGAGCUCAACUCUGAAACUGCACUCGAUACUGCUUUGCUCGAGGACUGGAGAGGAGAUUGGAAUUCACGGUGUAGCAGUGAAAUGCGUAGAUAUCCGGAGGAACACCGGUGGCGAAGGCGGCUUCCUGGACCGACACUGACGCUGAGGCGCGAAAGCUAGGGGAGCAAACGGG
rnacentral:rRNA from 1 species